rnacentral:rRNA from 1 species
UACGUAGGGUGCGAGCGUUAAUCGGAAUUACUGGGCGUAAAGCGUGCGCAGGCGGUUUUGUAAGCCAGAUGUGAAAUCCCCGGGCUCAACCUGGGAAUGGCAUUUGGGACUGCAAGGCUGGAGUGCGGCAGAGGAGACUGGAAUUCCUGGUGUAGCAGUGAAAUGCGUAGAUACCAGGAGGAAUACCGAUGGCGAAGGCGACUCACUGGCCCAUUACUGACGCUGAGGCGCGAAAGCGUGGGGAGCAAACAGG